rnacentral:lncRNA from 1 species
CCAACCAUCUAAGGACACGGAGAUACGGAGUUGUCUUUUGCAGCUGUAGCGUAAGAUGAUAUAGUAUGAGAGAUAAGGAAUUGACGCUGUCUGUUUCUGAUCCUAACCUUGCAGCAAAGAUAAUAUAAUUAAGGAUGAGUUAUUUAUCUCAUUAUGCCUCAUUUUCCUUCACACGCAAACCCCACCAAAUAGGUUUAUUGUGAGAAUUAAAUGAGAGCAUAUAUGUUAACCUGUGGAGCACAAUGCCUAGUAAAUGCUUGAGAAAUGGUAGCUGUAAUUCUGGCUACUUGGGUAGCUGAGGCAGGAUUAAGCAUUUAAUUAAGCAUUUAAGAAAAACAGUAUUUACCACUCACACAAAACUAGCUUAAAAAUGUUGUUUUAAAACAAGACAUUCAUCAAUGCCUGGGCUUAUUGAAUCACUUUUUUUAAUGAUGGCUGCUUUAAAAUCUAUUUCAAAUGUUUCCAACA